rnacentral:rRNA from 1 species
AUCUGAGGUACUACCAUGGUGAAUUUGGCAAGCCAAUCUCAUCUGAUCUUAGAAGAUAAGUAGGGUUGGGGCUGGUUAUUACUUGGAUGGGAGAUUGCCUGGGAAUACCUAGUGUUGAAGGCU